ensembl:lncRNA
UUUUUUUUUUUUUUUUCAGUCUUUCACUGAGCCUGGGACUUUUUUUGUGCUGGGAGAGGGAGGAAAUAAUUUCAGUAAUAACUUGUUUUGUUUUGUUUUUCCCUCCAAAAUAUAUUUCAAGGCUUUUCUCAGCUAGUUGAGUUAAUGCACAAUAAAAAGAAACACAAAACUGAAAUGGAAGACUUGACUUAACUUUUUCUUCAUUGAAAGAUUAUUAACCACAGCACUGAGGGAUGAUCUCAGAGAAACAGGUCUAGUAAUGUAAGUCAAAGACAGGAGAGAAAUAACAAUAAGCUGCUUCUAUUUAUUGUAUUAAUUCCCAUUCCCAUGAGAAAGUUACGGUUGAAACUAGAAUAGAUUCAUUUUUCUCUGCAGAAUUAUUUCUAAGACAACUUUGAAUAGAAUUAUUUUACCACAAAUAUUUAGAAAUACUUUUUAAUUGUAAUGUUUAUUUAAUGAUGUUAAUUUAUUCUUUUUCCACAAAUGUCCUUUCCACAUUGAUAGAUAAAUUAUAUUUUUAGGGCUGAUUCAGUCUCUCUUUCAUCACUUUCAGUAUGGUAUAACUACACUUUCAGGGAAUUGCACCAGGUCUACACCAGUUUGAACAUAGAGCUGAUCAGCAGGAUACAGUUUUGAUUGUUUAUUUGGGAAAACACUUUUAAAGAGAAAUAAAAAUUUCAAAGUCCUAUUAGAAAACUAAAAUUUACAAAGAAUGCCAGUCUGUUUUCCUCCCCCUAUGGAGGAAAUCAGUUACAAUUCUACAGCUCCACAUAUGCAUCACAUACAGUGUUGAAUGCUUGACUACUAGGCUUUACACAUUGCUGAUGUUCCAGUCAUGAAGCGCUGUACAUCAGAUUUGAUCUGUCCUAUCCAGGAAAGUAUUUCUUUUUCAUUUGCGUAUUAGGUAUACCAUAGACAAGAAUGGAUUUUGAAAGGAGCAUCGUACCUAGGCAUAAAUCACUUCAUACAGUAGAUGAGGAAUUAAAUACAUUCAUCAUUAAUCUUCUUUUUCAUGCAGUUUAAAAGAACACUUUGGUCAGGUUGCCUGUAAAUUAGGUGAGUUUAUUUUCUAGAAGUUAAAAUUUUCAUCUUAAUUUUGCCCCCAACAUAUUCUUCUGAAAGAAUAUAAAGUAUUUGUGAACAUUUUCAACUAUUUUUCUUUUGUAGAAAAUUUUCUUUCUGUUUGUUUCAGGGUUAAAAGCUUCUACUGAGACAGUAUGGCUGAAUAGUUUUGUGAUUUUAAUGGAAAAAUUCUUAAGAUUAUUUAGGAAAUAACAUUGCAUAUCAAAAUCUCUCAAGACACCAAAUUUCUACUAAAUUUCUUUCUGUUUUUUUUACCUUGGUGUAACUUAGCAGAAUAUCAUGAGAUUUAAUAAACAUGACCCCGCACUUGAUUCAGACUCAUAGGAUUUUUUCAAGUUUUAUUAAUGUUGAGUGAUGUAAAGGUUGUAUUACAAAGUUCAGGUUCUUUUGCUGUACCAGUGUGUGAGAUUCCUUCCUCUUAACUGAAAAAUAUUCUACAUUACAGAAAAGCUUGCAUUGUUUUCUGCAAGCAAUUUCACUAUUUAUGUUUAACUGAAAUUGUUUGAUAUUUAAUGGAGUUAAAAAAAACGAAAAUUCUAACAGAUAUUGGUGACUUUUAUUAAAUAAAGCUUGCAUUAGAGUUAUUCAGGAGAGACUACCAUUGAAAAUAUUCCUGGAGAAGUGGAAACCUAAACCUGCACAUGGAUGAGGGUGAUCCAUUCAUCGGCUUAUGGACAAGUUUAUGAUUACUCAGUGGAGUCACAAAUCCAUAAAUCUACUCAGUGCCCCUGCACAUGAUGUGCUCUCAAUGGAGAAGAGGUUGGGCAGCAGUUGCUGGGGAAGAUGAAUGGUGCUUCAAGAGGACUGUCUGAGCAGUUGGUGGCAACUUCUCAUGCUCCUCUCCUGGACAGGAUUCUCACUUUGGUACAGAGCACUUCAACGUGUGAUCUCCUUGACUCUCUCUGGGAUGAACUACUCUGGCACGCUGGCUGAUUACUUAAGAAAAAUUGAAGAAGAAACAAUAUCAGCCUCCUGCAAGUCUGUGGUCAGGCAGCCCACCAGGCAGAGGAAGUCCUAUGGGUCUUCAUGUUUAAUUCUUAAGAAAAAGUCAUCACCAUCCUGUCUCUGGAGGCUACAAAAGCAGCUAAAAACUCUAGACAGUGGAAGCAAGACCCGCCACUUGUUGUUGCUGGAAAGGAUUUUCUCUGUCUACAUUUCUGGUCACUCCACAGUUCCUGCACAUUUUGGUCCCAGAUCGAGAACUGUUACAUUACAUGUCAUUAUAUGUCAUUAUAUGGGAACUAAGAAAUGUAAUUAAAUAUAAAUAAGAAAAUAUUUUUCCAUCCAGAAUUUGCAAUUGAGUUGUAUAUUCUGUAACAAGAAAAGCAUAGACAGUGUACAUGUGGGAAAAAUAAGAACAGAUCAAGACAAA